rnacentral:rRNA from 1 species
CUAAGCCUGCGAGUCGACCUCGUAAGAGGUGGCUCACGGCUCANUAACACNUAGUCAACCUACCCUGGGGACGGGGAUAACCCCGGGAAACUGGGGAUAAACCUNGAUAGGCCAUANCUUCUGGAAUGGGNUAUGGCUCAAAUGNUAUACNGCCCCAGGAUGGGACUGCNCCCGAUCAGGUUGUUGGUGGGGNAAUGGCCCACCAAGCCUAUAACCGGUACGGNCUCUGANAGGGGGAGCCCGGAGAUGGNCACUGANACAAGGGCCCANGUCCUAUGGGACGCAGCAGGCGCGAAACCUNCNCAAUGGGCAAAAGCCCGACGGGGUCAGNNCNAGUGGCUCCCGCUAAGGGAGACUUUUGCCAGCUGUAAAAAGGCUGGCGAAUAANGGGUGGGCAAGUCUGGUGUCAGCCGCCGCGGUAACACCGGCCGCUUGAGUGGUGACCGCUAUUAUUGGCCUAAAGCGUNCGUAGCCGGUUCUGUAAGUCCUUGGGAAAAUNCGCUCGUUUAACGAAUGGGACCCUGGGGANNNUANUG